UCAAAUGUAUUUUAUAAUUAGCAUGGCCUAAAUUUUCGAAGCUCUCUUAGUUCUAUGAUAGUCGUAAAAACAUUAGCAAUAUCGACAGACGAUCUUAGUGCUAACAGA